GUUCAUUUCUCCACGAUCGUCUGCAGACGCUUUGCUUCAGGCUUACCACUCAAACAAGCCCAUUGUCAGUCCUGGGGGAGACGAUAGAGCUCUGCUGGGUCUGGUGUUGACUCUGUCCUGGGGGAGACGAUAGAGCUCUGCUGGGUCUGGUGUUGGCUCUGUCCUGGGGGAGACGUUAGAGCUCUGUUGGGUCUGGUGUUGACUCUGUCCUGGGGGAGACGAUAGAACUCUGCUGGGUCUGGUGUUGGCUCUGUCCUGGGGGAGACGAUAGAGCUCUGCUGGGUCUGGUGUUGGCUCUGUCCUGGGGGAGACGAUAGAGCUCUGCUGGGUCUGGUGUUGGCUCUGUCCUGGGGGAGACGAUAGAACUCUGCUGGGUCUGGUGUUGGCUCUGUCCUGGGGGAGACGAUAGAGCUCUGUUGGGCCUGGUGUUGGCUCUGUCCUCUGCUGGGUCUGGUGUUGGCUCUGUCCUCUGCUGGGUCUGGUGUUGACUCUGUCCUGGGGGAGACGAUAGAACUCUGCUGGGUCUGGUGUUGGCUCUGUCCUGGGGGAGACGUUAGAACUCUGCUGGGUCUGGUGUUGGCUCUGUCCUGGGGGAGACGAUAGAGCUCUGCUGGGUCUGGUGUUGGCUCUGUCCUGGGGGAGACAUUAGAGCUCUGUUGGGCCUGGUGUUGGCUCUGUCCUGGGGGAGACGAUAGAGCUCUGCUGGGCCUGGUGUUGGCUCUGUCCUGGGGGAGACGUUAGGGCCUGGUGUUGGCUCUGUCCUGGGGGAGACGUUAGAGCUCUGUUGGGCCUGGUGUUGGCUCUGUCCUGGGGGAGACGUUAGAGCUCAGCUGGGCCUGGUGUUGGCUCUGUCCUGGGGGAGACGUUAGAGCUCUGUUGGGCCUGGUGUUGGCUCUGUCCUGGGGGAGACGUUAGAGCUCAGCUGGGUCUGGUGUUGGCUCUGUCCUGGGGGAGACGAUAGAACUCUGCUGGGCCUGGUGAUAGAUAGGGUGUUGACUCUGUCGGGAGUGUCUGCUGCCCUUUGACUUCAGACUGUGGGCAGAGGAUGAGUCUGGAGGACAAGAGAGAGGAGGAGAGUAGACUUAUUGUUGUGGUCGUUAAGCGCCGUCAGUCUACAUCCUACAGGUGUUA
rnacentral:lncRNA from 1 species